AGCGAACGCUGGCGGCAGGCCUAACACAUGCAAGUCGAACGCCCAGCAAUGGGAGUGGCAGACGGGAUAGUAACACGUGGGAACGCGCCCUUCGGUUCGGAAUAACUCAGGGAAACUUGAGCUAAUACCGGAUACGCCCUUACGGGGAAAGAUUUAUUGCCGAAGGAACGGCCCGCGUCGGAUUAGCUAGUUGGUGAGGUAAUGGCUCACCAAGGCGACGAUCCGUAGCUGGUCUGAGAGGAUGACCAGCAUCACUGGGACUGAGACACGGCCCAGACUCCUACGGGAGGCAGCAGUGGGGAAUAUUGGACAAUGGGCGCAAGCCUGAUCCAGCCAUGCCGCGUGGAUGAUGAAGGCCCUAGGGUUGUAAAGUCCUUUUAACGGGGAAGAUAAUGACGGUACCCGUAGAAUAAGCCCCGGCUAACUUCGUGCCAGCAGCCGCGGUAAUACGAAGGGGGCUAGCGUUGCUCGGAAUUACUGGGCGUAAAGCGCACGUAGGCGGGUCGAUAAGUCGGGGGUGAAAUCCUGGAGCUCAACUCCAGAACUGCCUUCGAAACUGUC
rnacentral:rRNA from 1 species